GACGAACGCUGGCGGCGUGCCUAAUACAUGCAAGUAGAACGCACAGUUUAUACCGUAGCUUGCUACACCAUAGACUGUGAGUUGCGAACGGGUGAGUAACGCGUAGGUAACCUGCCUGGUAGCGGGGGAUAACUAUUGGAAACGAUAGCUAAUACCGCAUAAUAUUAAUUAUUGCAUGAUAAUUAAUUGAAAGGUGCAAUUGCACCACUACCAGAUGGACCUGCGUUGUAUUAGCUAGUAGGUGAGGUAACGGCUCACCUAGGCGACGAUACAUAGCCGAACUGAGAGGGGGAGCGGCCACACUGGGACUGGGACACGGCCCAGACUCCUACGGGAGGCAGCAGGAGGGAAUCUUCGGCAAUGGACGAAAGUCUGACCGAGCAACGCCGCGGGAGUGAAGAAGGUUGUCGGAUCGUAAAGCUCUGUUGUAAGAGAAGAACGGGUGUGAGAGUGGAAAGUUCACACUGUGACGGUAUCUUACCAGAAAGGGACGGCUAACUACGUG
rnacentral:rRNA from 1 species